rnacentral:rRNA from 1 species
CAAUAGCGUAUAUUUAAGUUGCUGCAGUUAAAAAGCUCGUAGUUGGAUUUCGGGUGGGAAUGGCCGGUCCGCCGUUUCGGUGUGCACUUGCUACGCCCACCUUGCUGCCGGGGACGUGCUCUUGAGUUCACGCUCGGGACACGGAGUCGGCGAGGUUACUUUGAGUAAAUUAGAGUGUUCAAAGCAGGCCUACGCUCUGAAUACAUUAGCAUGGAAUAACACGAUAGGACUCUGGCCUAUCUUGUUGGUCUGUCGGACCGGAGUAAUGAUUAAGAGGGACAGUCGGGGGCAUUCGUAUUUCAUUGUCAGAGGUGAAAUUCUUGGAUUUAUGAAAGACGAACUACUGCGAAAGCAUUUGCCAAGGAUGUUUUCAUUAA